GCAAAUCCUACUACACCACCACGAGCAACAAGGGAAUGAAACCAGAAGUUGUGUAUACAAUGCGGUGAACAUGUUGAAGAUAAGUCAAACUUUUGUCCGAGUUGUGGAAAGAAACUAUUUACUAGUAAGUUUUAAAUAGCGUGUGUAGCAGAAAUCCGAAAGGCAUUGCAAAAGGCGUUGACAAUGUGACUGCUGACAUUGCAGACGAUGUUGUGGAAGAUCUGCAUCUGAAAGAUGUCAUUGAAAAGUUAAAAAGUUUUGAUGAUGACGAUUCAUUCCAGUCAGCAUUGAUGACAGAUGUUUCCGAAAUUUUGGGCAAGAUUGGUUACAGAGGGGUACUAACCCGAGAGAAAUUAUCUUCGAGAGAUUCUAUUAUAAGAUAUUUUGUUUUUUAGCUAUCUGAAUAGUUCUAGCAACAUAUGUACAUAGUCUAAAUGUGCUACUAAGUAACAUAUAUAGUAUGGCUGCUGGUAACAAUUGUUCCAAUGUUGUUGUUUUCAAUAGACAAUGUUUCUUGUCUGAUAUAUGUAUAUUUUCUAGUAGUGUUGCUGUUUAUUUUAGAUCUAUUGUUGUGUUUGAGUUCAGUAAGUUGAUGCUAUGUUAAACCAAAUUAUCGAUGGCCUUUGCUGCUUUGGUGCAUAUGAUUUAAUAAAAGAAUUCCCAGACUUUUUAGAACCUGUCUUUGUGCAGAGUGGUUGUUUCUCAUCGACACCAGAAGAAUUUCUUGAAGACAUCAAAGGAGAAUUCAGUGAGGAUGGUUCCAAUUACAAACAGCAGGAAAUUGACAUCUUUAAAUAUUUUCAUGAUUAUGUGGAGGAAAAAAGUAAAGAGACAGGUGAGGAUCAAUUUUCAUUACCUGCACUACUGCAAUUCAUAACCGGAUCAAGGAGUGUACCUCCUUUAGGUUUUCCCAACAAAAUCAUUGUUAAAUUCAAGCAUGGCUGCCAAGAUGGGUAUAAAUGUAGACCUGUUACUUCAACAUGCGACCUUAGCUUAACUUUACCUGUACACUACCAGGAAGGGGAAUUUAAUUGUGUGAUGAGUUCAGCAAUGAUGUGUGUGCUGGAUUUGGAAGAAUUUAGAAGUGGUACGCUAGAACAGUUCAACUAUUACAAAACCUAUUGUACGCACAUUCACAAAUAUAAGAUGUAGUACAUUUAUGUUAUUUGUGCUGUGCAAUGAUACAUUAUUAUGAGGCUACAUCCAUUAGAUUUUGAAAUAAAUUGAAAGGUUCUUCUGGGCUUUUGGGAUAUUGAGUGCCUUCAGUUUCCAUUAAAUGAUGAAAAUAUUGCUGAUAAUCUUCUUCAUAGGUCUGAUUUUCAUCAUCAACUUUCAGUUCAAUCUUAGCAAUUUGAGCUUCUGACACUCUGUGCAAAUUGUUUAUACCUCCAAAACAUUCUGGAAAAUAAAAUAGUACAUCUGGCUGUCCAGAAACACUACCAUGCCUUGAUGGGCGGUUAAGAUGUGAGUUCCAGCUGGUUUUAACUUUCUGAAAGUCAUCAUUCAGUACAGCAUGAAAACAAAACCGAAGACAUUCCCUUUCAAGGUCCACAAUAUGUUCUGAGGAAAGCUGAGCAACCAUUUAACUGCUUAAAAAACUCAAGAUAUAACCAUGCAGGAGCAGCUGGCGACUUGUUGGAUUUUACAACUUCUAACCAUAGUACUUUCCGACUGUAUCCAUCACAUGCACCAUGCACAGGGAAGCCAAAGGGCUUAAACUUGUUAUAACCUUUCACAAAUAAAAAUAGAUAUGUACUGCUUCAAAGCUAUCUUAGACAAUAAUUUCUAUUUGUAUUUAUACUGUUAUAUAUUCCUUAACACAAAUUUUUCUCUUACCAUCUGCAUGCCAGCAGUGAUUUGGUCCAGGUGACAAAUAUAUUCUUUUCAACUUU